rnacentral:rRNA from 1 species
CUACACGACCGUACCGCAAACCGACACUGGUGCGCGAGAUGAGUAUUCUAAGGCGCUUGAGAGAACUCAGGAGAAGGAACUCGGCAAAUUGACACCGUAACUUCGGAAGAAGGUGUGCCUUUAGUAGGUGAACCUGUACAAGGGGAGCCCAAUGAGGUUGCAAAAAAUCGGUGGCUGCGACUGUUUAAUAAAAACACAGCACUCUGCAAACACGAAAGUGGACGUAUAGGGUGUGACGCCUGCCCGGUGCUGGAAGAUUAAAUGAUGGGGUGCAAGCUCUUGAUUGAAGUCCCAGUAAACGGCGGCCGUAACAAUAACGGUCCUAAGGUAGCGAAAUUCCUUGUCGGGUAAGUUCCGACCUGCACGAAUGGCGUAACGAUGGCCACACUGUCUCCUCCUGAGACUCAGCGAAGUUGAAAUGUUUGUGAUGAUGCAAUCUCCCCGCGGAAAGACGGAAAGACCCCAUGAACCUUUACUGUAGCUUUGUAUUGGACUUUGAACAGAUCUGUGUAGGAUAGGUGGGAGGCUUUGAAGUGUGGUCGCUAGAUCGCAUGGAGCCAACGUUGAAAUACCACCCUGGUGUGUUUGAGGUUCUAACCUAGGCCCGUAUCCGGGUCGGGGACAGUGCAUGGUAGGCAGUUUGACUGGGGCGGUCUCCUCCCAAAGCGUAACGGAGGAGUUCGAAGGUACGCUAGGUACGGUCGGACAUCGUGCUAAUAGUGCAAUGGCAUAAGCGUGCUUAACUGCGAGACUGACAAGUCGAGCAGAUGCGAAAGCAGGACAUAGUGAUCCGGUGGUUCUGUAUGGAAGGGCCAUCGCUCAACGGAUAAAAGGUACUCUGGGGAUAACAGGCUGAUACCGCCCAAGAGUUCAUAUCGACGGCGGUGUUUGGCACCUCGAUGUCGGCUCACCUCAUCCUGGGGCUGUAGCCGGUCCCAAGGGUAUGGCUGUUCGCCAUUUAAAGAGGUACGUGAGCUGGGUUUAAAACGUCGUGAGACAGUUUGGUCCCUAUCUUCCGUGGGCGCUGCAGAUUUGAGGAAGCCUGCUCCUAGUACGAGAGGACCGGAGUGGACACACCUCUGGUGUAUCGGUUGUCACGCCAGUGGCAUUGCCGAGUAGCUAUGUGUGGAAGAGAUAACCGCUGAAAGCAUCUAAGCGGGAAACUCGUUUCAAGAUGAGAUCUGCCGGGGCCUUGAGCCCCCUAAAGAGUCGUUCAAGACCAGGACGUUGAUAGGUCGGGUGUGGAAGCGCAGUAAUGCGUUAAGCUAACCGAUACUAAUUGCUCGUGCGGCUUGACCCU